UCGAGCGAACAGAUAAGGAGCUUGCUCCUUUGACGUUAGCGGCGGACGGGUGAGUAACACGUGGGUAACCUACCUAUAAGACUGGGACAACUUCGGGAAACCGGAGCUAAUACCGGAUAAUAUGUUGAACCGCAUGGUUCAAUAGUGAAAGAUGGUUUUGCUAUCACUUAUAGAUGGACCCGCGCCGUAUUAGCUAGUUGGUGAGGUAACGGCUCACCAAGGCAACGAUACGUAGCCGACCUGAGAGGGUGAUCGGCCACACUGGAACUGAGACACGGUCCAGACUCCUACGGGAGGCAGCAGUAGGGAAUCUUCCGCAAUGGGCGAAAGCCUGACGGAGCAACGCCGCGUGAGUGAUGAAGGUCUUAGGAUCGUAAAACUCUGUUAUUAGGGAAGAACAAACGUGUAAGUAACUGUGCACGUCUUGACGGUACCUAAUCAGAAAGCCACGGCUAACUACGCGCCAGCAGCCGCGGUAAUACGUAGGUGGCAAGCGUUAUCCGGAAUUAUUGGGCGUAAAGCGCGCGUAGGCGGUUUUUUAAGUCUGAUGUGAAAGCCCACGGCUCAACCGUGGAGGGUCAUUGGAAACUGGAAAACUUGAGUGCAGAAGAGGAAAGUGGAAUUCCAUGUGUAGCGGUGAAAUGCGCAGAGAUAUGGAGGAACACCAGUGGCGAAGGCGACUUUCUGGUCUGUAACUGACGCUGAUGUGCGAAAGCGUGGGGAUCAAACAGGAUUAGAUACCCUGGUAGUCCACGCCGUANACGAUGAGUGCUAAGUGUUAGGGGGUUUCCGCCCCUUAGUGCUGCAGCUAACGCAUUAAG
rnacentral:rRNA from 1 species